rnacentral:rRNA from 1 species
GUAAAUUUGGGUAAUUAACUACCCCAUAAUAUAUUUGAUAGGCAUCUUAUUAAUAUUAAAGCUUCGGCACUUGAUGAGUGGGUGUGCGGCUGAUUAGAUAGUUGGCGGGUAACGGCCCACCAAGUCUACGAUCAGUAGCUGAUGUGAGAGCAUGAUCAGCCACACGGGCACUGAGACACGGGCCCGACUCCUACGGGAGGCAGCAGUAAGGAUAUUGGACAAUGGACGAAAGUCUGAUCCAGCCAUGCCGCGUGAAGGAUUAAGGUCCUCUGGAUUGUAAACUUCUUUUAUAUGGGACGAAAAAGGGCAUUCUUGUUCACUUGACGGUACCAUAUGAAUAAGCACCGGCUAACUCCGUG